UGGACACGCUUGGCGCACUAAGCAAGCGCUAAAGUGUUGCAUUAAAAACAACUGUGUACGAUAAAUAAAUUAGAAUUUCAGAGUUGCAAUUAUGAGCAAUUGAGUCAUGGAUGCGCGUUACCUCAGAAAUCCGCUUUAUGAGAGUUAUACUGUGGCGUGCUUUGUGGAAGAAACGCAGUGGUAUUAAUCAUUCCUAAUUUUUGAGAAACAACAAGUUAAUAGAAAGAAAACAACUUUUGAUCGAAGAACUCAAUAACCGACAUUGAAAGUAUUAAAACUGAUAUUUCUUGCAAGAAUGCUUCCACAUAUAAAAUAUUUCACACAUGACAUGCGAAUUGCAAAUGUUUAUAUGUAAAUUUCCUGUGGCGUCAAAAUAGCAAAGAGUGCGGACAAACCCACAACUGAUUUGCAAGCAAAAAGUAAAGAAAACAGCGUGAACGGUUAUAAAAAAACUCCUUAUAAAAAUUUCAUCGGUCAGUUUGUAUGACAGCUAUAUGCUAUAGUGACCCGAUCUGAACAAUUUCUUCAGUGAUUGCAUCAGUGACUCAGCCAAUAAUUCAUGCCAAAUUUCGUGGAGAUAUCUCUUGAAAUGGGAAAGUUUUCCAUACAAGGACUUGAUUCCGAUCGUACAGUUUGUAUAGCAACUAUAGGCUAUAGCGGUCCCAUAUUAGCAGUUCCGAGAAACGUGCUAGCGAACUCAAGAAAUGUAUGCGUGGCAAGCGUUUUUAAUCAAAUGAAUAGGUCAUAAUGGCUGUUGAAGCGUAUUUUGCAGACUUUCCGGAUUCUCACUUCAGGGAUGGGAUCCACAGAUUGGAGGAUUGUUGGAGCAAGUGUAUUAAUGUUCAGGAAGAUUAUACUGAAGAAUAUGUUAAAGUGUAUUUUGAAUCAUAAAAUUGUGUUUUUCUUAUUAGACGACAAAACUUAUUGAACAACCUGGUAUAUACUUUAUGGUAUAGGGUUUCCGA